AUACGUAGGGUCCGAGCGUUGUCCGGAGUUACUGGGCGUAAAGCGCGCGCAGGCGGCGGCAUUGGCCCGGCGUGAAAGCCCCCGGCUCAACCGGGGAGGGUCGUCGGGGACCGUGCCGCUUGAGGGCAGCAGGGGUUGGUGGAAUGCCCGGUGUAGUGGUGAAAUGCGUAGAGAUCGGGCGGAACACCCGUGGCGAAGGCGGCCAACUGGGCUGACCCUGACGCUGAGGCGCGAAGGCGUGGGGAGCGAACGGGAUUAGAUACCCCGGUAGUCCACGCAGUAAACGAUGCAGACUAGGCGUGGGGGGACUUGACCCCCUCCGUGCCGGAGCUAACGCGGGAAGUCUGCCGCCUGGGGAGUACGGCCGCAAGGCUAAA
rnacentral:rRNA from 1 species